rnacentral:lncRNA from 1 species
ACAGGCGAGGCGAGUUAAGGGACAGGCUGUGGGCUGGCUGGUUAAAUAACUUCAGGGAGCUCCGAGGCAUGAGCUGACCCUUAUGGUCUGACAGCUGAUUCUAGGGAGAUUGCAGCAGGAGUACAGUGGGCCAGGAUGAAUGCUCCAAAAAGGAAGUGGUUAGAUGUCUGAACUCUGCAUUCGUUGGUUUGUAUUUGAAAAAUGCAACCCUUGGCGGGAGGACUUCUACUGAGAGGACAAGGGAGGCAGAAAGCCAAGAAAAGUGACUCAGUCAGUGACCUUAUCGGGGUGUCCGGAACAAAGUGCCUCUAGCACAGGCUUGGAGGGUAGGUGUUGAAGCAGCGAGCUCACAGAAGCUGGAAAUGGAAACAUCUAUAUUAAUGCCCAGUAAUACCGAUUUGGGACUUGGGGGCUGUACAAUUGUGAGAGGACAAACUUCUCUUGUGGAAGCUGUGACGUUUGUGGUAAUUGGUUAACAGCAGCAACAGGAAACUAACAGGAGGAUUUUAAUCUUGAGAAAUAACUUUUGAAAGAAUUUGCAGAACUGAAACUUGAUUUAAAAAGAUAAUUAAAAAUAGAUUUGAGAGACAGUAUAAGAUUUAGCUUAGAAUAAAUUUCACAAUAAAGAAACGGUCUAUGUUUGAGGAAAUAGACAUAUUUAACCUGAUUUCAACAAUAUACAAUAUAUACAUGUUUCUAAAUAAGAUAGAGUACCCUGCAAGGUGAUAUCAGGGCAGCUGGAGAAAUUUGAAUAUGGACUGUAAAUUAUGUAAUCAUUUUAUAUCAGAUUUAAAUUUCCUGAUUUUAAUCAAUGUACAUUUGGAUCAUUAUGUGAAUAUAUUCUUUGAUAUUGAAGACAGAGGUAUUUAGGGAUAAUGGAUCAAAAUAUCUACAGUUGAUUUUUAAAUGUGUAAGAAAAAAAAUAAUAAUGCAUAGAGAGAGAUUGUUAAAGCAACUAUGGCAAAAUAUUAAUUUGCAAAUCUAAGUCAAGGGUAGUUUGAA